rnacentral:rRNA from 1 species
UACGUAGGGGGCAAGCGUUGUCCGGAUUUAUUGGGCGUAAAGAGCGUGUAGGCGGCUUGGUAGGUCCGCUGUGAAAACUCGAGGCUCAACCUCGAGAUGUCGGCGGAAACCACUUGGCUAGAGUCCGGAAGAGGAGAGUGGAAUUCCUGGUGUAGCGGUGAAAUGCGCAGAUAUCAGGAAGAACACCCGUGGCGAAGGCGGCCCGCUGGGCAGUGGCUGACGCUGAGGCGCGACAGCGUGGGGAGCAAACAGG